rnacentral:sRNA from 12 species
CGCGCUCCCUACAAUUAUUAGUUUAAUUGAGCAUGUGGCCAUCACGAGGAUGAUGUAACACCAGCAGUUACGGGACUUAGUCGAUAACUGCCAAAAAGGUGU